rnacentral:rRNA from 1 species
GUUUGAUCAUGGCUCAGACUGAACGCUGGCGGCAUGGCUAAAGCAUGCAAGUCGAACGAGCCCGCAAGGGCAAGUGGCGGACGGGUUAGUAAUGCGAUCGAACGUACCCAGAGGUGGGGGAUAGCGGUGGGAAACUGCCGGUAAUACCCCAUGUGCUCCUCGGAGGAAAGGUUUACCGCCUUUGGAUCGGCGAUCGUCCUAUCAGGUAGUUGGCGGGGUAAAAGCCCACCAAGCCGAAGACGGGUAGCGGGUGUGAGAGCACGGCCCGCAACAUCGGAACUGAGAAACUGUCCGGACUCCUACGGGAGGCUGCAGCAACGAAUCUUCCGCAAUGGGCGCAAGCCUGACGGAGCAAUGCCGCGUGUGGGAUGAAGUGCCUCCGGCAUGUAAACCACUGUCAGAAAGCAGAAACACUGAUUGCUUUCAAAGGAAGUGGCGACUAACUCUGUGCCAGCAGUCGCGGUAAUACAGAGGCCACAAGCGUUAGUCGGAAUUACAGGG